rnacentral:rRNA from 1 species
CUACGGGUCGCACCAGUAGGGAAUAUUGCCCAAUGGACGAAAGUCUGAGGCAGCAACGCCGCGUGCGCGAUGAAGGCCUUCGGGUUGUAAAGCGCUUUUACGAGGGAAGAGAAAGGACGGUACCUCGUGAAUAAGGAUCGGCUAACUACGUGCCAGCAGCCGCGGUAACACGUAGGAUUCGAACGUUAUCCGGAUUUACUGGGCGUAAAGCGCGUGCAGGCGGUUUGGUAAGUUGGAUGUGAAAGCUCCAGGCUCAACCUGGAGAGGUCGUUCAAUACUGCCAGACUAGAGGACGGUAGAGGGAGGUGGAAUUCCGGGUGUAGUGGUGAAAUGCGUAGAUAUCCGGAGGAACACCAGUGGCGAAGGCGGCCUCCUGGGCCGUUCCUGACGCUCAGACGCGAAAGCUAGGGUAGCGAACGGGAUUAGAUACCCGCGUAGUC